rnacentral:misc_RNA from 1 species
GAUGAAGAACGCAGCGAAAUGCGAUAAGUAGUGUGAAUUGCAGAAUUCAGUGAAUCAUCGAAUCUUUGAACGCACAUUGCGCCCCAUGGUAUUCCGUGGGGCGUGCCUGUUCGAGCGUCAUUUACCCCCUCAAGCUCCGCUUGGUGUUGGGCGUCUGUCCCGCUUCGCGCGCGGACUCGCCCCAAAGGUAUUGGCAGCGGUCGUGCCAGCUUCUCGCGCAGCACAUUGCGCUUCUCGAGGCACCGGUGGGCCCGCGUCCAUCAAGCUCACCCCCCCAGUUUGACCUCGGAUCAGGUAGGGAUACCCGCUGAACUUAAGCAUAUCAAUAAGCGGAGGA